AGUCUUCAGCCUGGCCUUCAUAUUGCUGUCGGUCCCGGUAAGAUUUCCGGCGUUGAAUCCAAUUAAACCGCAAGCUCCACCCGUUGUGGUGCUCCCCCGCCAAUUCCUUUAAGUUUCAGCCUUGCGGCCGUACUUCCCAGGUGGCUCGCUUCACGGCUUCCCUACGGCACCGACAACGGUCGCACCGUGGCCGACACCUAGCGAGUAUCGUUUACGGCUAGGACUACCCGGGUAUCUAAUCCGGUUCGUGCCCCUAGCUUUCGUCCCUUGCCGUCAGGUCCGUUCUGGUGAGACGCCUUCGCCACUGGUGGUCCUUCAAGGAUUACAAGAUUUCACCCCUACCCCUGAAGUACCUCUCACCUCUCCCGGCCUCGAGCCAGACAGUAUCUCCUGAAAGCCUGACAGUUAAGCU
rnacentral:rRNA from 1 species